rnacentral:rRNA from 1 species
UACGAAGGGUGCAAGCGUUAAUCGGAAUUACUGGGCGUAAAGCGUGCGCAGGCGGCUUUGCAAGACAGAUGUGAAAUCCCCGGGCUCAACCUGGGAACUGCAUUUGUGACUGUAUAGCUAGAGUACGGUAGAGGGGGAUGGAAUUCCGCGUGUAGCAGUGAAAUGCGUAGAUAUGCGGAGGAACACCGAUGGCGAAGGCAAUCCCCUGGGCCUGCACUGACGCUCAUGCACGAAAGCGUGGGGAGCAAACAGG